rnacentral:rRNA from 1 species
UACGUAGGGUGCGAGCGUUGUCCGGAAUUAUUGGGCGUAAAGGGCUCGUAGGCGGUUUGUCGCGUCGACUGUGAAAACCCGAGGCUUAACCUCGGGCCUGCAGUCGAUACGGGCAGACUAGAGUUCGGUAGGGGAGACUGGAAUUCCUGGUGUAGCGGUGAAAUGCGCAGAUAUCAGGAGGAACACCGGUGGCGAAGGCGGGUCUCUGGGCCGAUACUGACGCUGAGGAGCGAAAGCGUGGGGAGCGAACAGG